rnacentral:lncRNA from 1 species
UUUGCUCCCAUUCCUCCCCCUGGUAGCAUUAAACCAAAACCUGCUGGCCCCGGAACAGGCGACGCUGGAAGCGGUCAACCUGUUAGCCCAGGACCCGGCGAUGCGGGAGGUGGUCCAAAACCUGGUGGUCCUGGAACCGGUGAAAACGGAGCCGGCACUAAACCUAGUGGUCCCGGAACCGGUGAAAACGGAGCCGGCACUAAACCUGGUGACCUUGGAACCGGGGCAGAUGGAGAAGGUACUAAACCUGGUGGCUCUGGAACCGGCGAAGACGGAGCCGGUACUAAACCUGGUGGUCCUGGAACCGGUGAAAACGGAGCCGGCACUAAACCUAGUGGUCCCGGAACCGGUGAAAACGGAGCCGGCACUAAACCUGGUGACCUUGGAACCGGGGCAGAUGGAGAAGGUACUAAACCUGGUGGCUCUGGAACCGACGAAGACGGAGCCGGUACUAAACCUGGUGGCCUUGAGACAGGAGAAGACGGAGCUGGUACUAAACCUGUUGGCUCUGGAACUGGCAACGAUGGAGGCGGUCCUAGACCUGUUAUCCCUGGAAAGAUGGGACCCCUUGGUGGUGACAAGGGAAAUGAAUUCGACGAUGUUGGUUUUGAUGGUGUGAAGAAAAUAACUGUGGGAGCAGAUGAAUUCAGUAUAACUUAUAUCAAGAUCGAAUA